rnacentral:rRNA from 1 species
UACGUAGGGGGCAAGCGUUGUCCGGAAUCAUUGGGCGUAAAGAGCUCGUAGGCGGUUCGUCGCGUCGGCUGUGAAAUCCCGAGGCUCAACCUCGGGUCUGCAGUCGAUACGGGCGGACUGGAGUUCGGCAGGGGAGACUGGAAUUCCUGGUGUAGCGGUGAAAUGCGCAGAUAUCAGGAGGAACACCGGUGGCGAAGGCGGGUCUCUGGGCCGAUACUGACGCUGAGGAGCGAAAGCGUGGGGAGCGAACAGG